GGCCCUGUAGGCUAGUGGUAAACCGCCUCCUUGACGUGGAGGAGUCCGCAGUCCGAUUCUGCGCAGGGCCA
rnacentral:tRNA from 3 species